UACGGAGGGUGCAAGCGUUGUUCGGAAUCACUGGGCGUAAAGCGCGUGUAGGCGGCCUCCUAAGUCUGGUGUGAAAGCCCGGGGCUUACCCCCGGAAGUGCACUGGAUACUGGGAGACUAGAGUACCGGAGAGGAGGGUGGAAUUCCUGGUGUAGCGGUGAAAUGCGUAGAUAUCAGGAAGAACACCGGUGGCGAAGGCGGCCCUCUGGACGGAUACUGACGCUGAGGCACGAAAGCGUGGGGAGCAAACAGG
rnacentral:rRNA from 1 species